CCUGAGAAACCCGAAAGAUCGAAUGGGGAGAUUCAUCGUCAGCGAUGCUGGUACGUGUGCGGUUCGCGAUGCCGGAGACCUCGGUCUCGUGGCACGCGUCCGCAUGUUUUUUAUUGCCUGGUAUCGUCGGCGUGCACUUCUCCCCUAGUAGGACGUCGCGACCCGUUGGGUGUCGGUCUACGGCCCGGGUGGGUGCCUGUCUCGUGUGCGCUUCACGGUGUCACUGCGGGGCAGACCCCCGGCUGCCCGACCGGCUGCCCGGCGGUACUCGCAAGGUAUCUGGCCGCAAAUAUUCGAACUGCGUCCGGCCCGUCGCAAGCGAGGCAAGUGUUUUCCCGGAUGUACGGAUCUAAUGCCGUCAUCGGGCCUGGCCAGCUGUUGGUUGACGGUGUCCUAGGACUGGCUAUAAUAAUUAUGAUACCGGUCAGCGACGCUACUGCUUUGGGUACUUUCARGA
rnacentral:rRNA from 1 species